rnacentral:tRNA from 1 species
AGCGAAAUAGCUCAGUUGGGAGAGCGUUAGACUAUAGAUCGAAAGGUCCCUGGUGCGCUCCCGGGGUUCGGAA